rnacentral:lncRNA from 1 species
UUUUUUUAUGAGUUAAUAAUUAAAUGGUAUCCUUAGAACAUAGUGUCAUAUCCCUACCAAGAGUAGUUAUAAAAUAAAGGCACAUACAUGCUUAAGUUCCUGAUGAAAAUAUAUGUAUCAGUCAUUACUUUCACCACUAGUACUAGAGUUUCUAGGAAAUUCAGAUGACUAUCAUAAGUGAAUGAUUUUAUUACAAUCUAUUACAAGAUGUGUACAUCUUUCUAGACUAUUUAAAAAUUUGAUCAUUUAGAAUUUUUUUUAAAUAAACCAGAAAGCAAAUUUGGGCUAUAAAACCAAACAUAUUCCAAAAUAUUCAGUUGUUAAAUCAAUAGCUAUUGUGUACCUACUGUGGUUGAGCUCUGUUUUGUAUGUUAAGGACCCAAAAGACACAAUCUCCACCCUGAGCUACUGCGAGACAGAUUGAGACAAUUAUAAAGUAAAGCAACACAAGGAAGUUGAAAAAAGGAGCCCAGAAGACAUAGUGAGGGGGUGGGUAGAGGAAAGGGGGGAGAAUGGAGGCAAGUGCAUAAAAGGGGAAGUGUUUACUAGUAAGCUUAGGGCAGGAAGGACUGAGAAGUGUCCUUUGGGUUGGGUAACACGGAGGCCUUACUGAGGAUUCUGCACAGGGUGAGCCCUGAAGCCCAGUUCUACGCUCCCUGAGCCAAGCAGGGAAUGUGAACGGAAUGAGGGCUUUACAAGAGCAGUGAGUCUCUGGGUAUCUUUUGGAUACUAAUGAAGUGUUAUUUCUCACACUUCAAGUAUCUGAAAGAGCAUUCUGAAUCUACGUCUUGCCUCUUAUUAUCUCUUCAUCAGUGUUAGCUUUUCCCCCAAAUUAGCAUUUCUUUCCAUGGACAAACAAGAGUCCUGCUCAAAAAAACAUAAGUUGCUACCAAUAGUUGGAAAUUUUGUUUUAUCACACACCAGGCAAUAAAAAUGUUUAUACAAUCUUGGUUGUUAUUGGCAGCCAAAACAUGGGAACUGUAGGAAAGACUUCUCAACAAGAACUUGGGAGGGAAAAAAAUGAAGCAUAAAACCAGCAAAAGUAGAUGAGACCAAAAAUAAUAUAUUAAUAUCACUUCAAAGAGAUACAGCUGUACCUAGGCUGGCAACACUAUAUUUAACUAGUGAAAUAUAUUAACAUAUCUAAACACCAAAUAUAUUUACCUGAAGGGAAUUGGUUGGACAAUCAUGAAACACAGAUGAUCAAAACCGGCAAACUUGGGUAAUGCCCUCCCAAGAGAGGUUCUUAUUAAGAUAAGUUUUAGGAGAGAAGUAGAACAAAAACGUAUUGCACUGUUGGAGAGUGUGUCUUGAUCAUUGGAUUUGGGACCCUCUGAUAAAUCUACCCUCUAAUGAAUGAAUGAAUUUAACAACUGUUUAUUGAACAUCUGUUAUGUGCCAGGCACUGGGGAUAUGAAAGUAAAUGUUGAGUUUACCAUCUAGAGAUGUUAUAGUGCUGAGUGAUAAGUACUGUGAUGAGAUGUGUAUAGGUUAGUGUAAGACUAGAUUAAAAAGGGAACAUUUUGGAAUAUGAAAAUAAAAUCAGAGAAGGCUUUCUUCUCAUCUGGAAAGCACAGGCCUGGAGGUGACAGAGAGCAAAACAAACAUUCCAGAAAUUCACCAGAGUCAGUAUGAAUAGAACCAGGAGGGCAAAAGAGAGUUGAUGCAGGUUGGAUUCCUCUGGAAGCAAAUAUCAGUGUGGAGGUUUAUUAGAGAGUACUCUUUAUUAGGGAGUGUGCAGGGAGGGAACAAAAUAAUAUCGAGCAGAGAGAGAGGUUGGGCUGCGACACAAGUGUCAGCAGAGAGCUCAGUCAAAAACACGAGGCAUCUGAAACCGAGAUGGCCCUCAGAGUGGUUCUGAGUUGAGAUAAUGGGACCAGGUCUUCUAUGUGGGCCAGUGAUUGGAUGGAAGUAAUUCUGGGAAUGGGGAGUGGCAUGACCUUGCAGGAGAGAAUUCCCUCUAGCUAAGGCAAUUAUGAAAAGGGCUCUCUGCCAACAGUAGUCCCAGGAGCUCGCAGAUCUGGUAGCUGAAAUACAGCAUACCGCAAGACAAGUGGAAGAAAAAGCAGGGAAGGUCAGAAAAGAUCACGUCGUGAAGGUCAUUGAAAGUCCUGUUAAGAGACUUUGGCCUCUACCUGGGGAAAACAGGGUGGCCACUCCAAAGUUUUACUUAAGAUGGUGACAUUCAAAGAUUUGUGCUUGCAAGUGAUUGUCUCGGCAAGGGUAUUCUUUUAGGGUGGGGAAAGGGACCUAAAAGAAAAAAAUUGGAGGAAAAGAAGAUUGUGUUUGGAGGCUCUUGAAGGAAUCCAGGAGAGAGAUAAUUGUGGCCUGAAUGAGGCCAUGAAGUAAGAAUGAAAAACAGCAAUGAAUUUAAAAGAAAUUUCAGUCACAGGAUGGGCUGAACUUGGUUUUUUGUUUUUUGUUUUUUUUCUUUUUUUGGCCACACCUGUGCAGCAUAUGGAAGUCCUAGACUAGGGGUGGAAUCGGAGCUGCAGCUUCAGGCCAUAGCCACAGCCACGGCAACACCAGAUCGAAGCUGCACUUGCAACCUACCCUGCAGUGUGCAGCAAUGCCAGAUCCUUAACCCACUGAGCAAGGCCCCCGAAUCCUCAAGGACAGUAUGUUGGAUUCUUAACCUACUAAGCCACAACAGGAACUCCUUGGUUAUUGAUUUUAAUGCAAAGGUGCAAAGGAGGAAAUAUGAAACUUACCAAUUAAGGGAUAGCAGUGCCAUUUACCAAGGCAGAAGCACCAGAAAUGCAGUAAUGCCCAGUGGGGUGGAAAAAGGAGACAGAGAACAAGUUUGGGUUUAUAAACAUGGAUUACCUGUCUGUGGUACAGACAAGCGGUAAGUCAGAAAGUGAAGAGGAAAUAUGUGCCUCCACAUUUGUAGUGUUGCCUCCAAAUUCAAUAUAGAAAAUAAUCCAGAAGGAAAAAGGAAAUCUGGAAAAAAGCUGUAGAACUAAAGAACACAUUCAUUCUACAAAAAAAGGUGGACUUCAAAAAAGGUGAUAAAGAAAGAAUAGUCCAGGUAGGAGAAAAAUCCAUGGAGAACGAUGAGUGAGAGACCAAGGAGACAAUGAGCUCAGGGGGCAGGAUACCAUCAUGGCUCAGAAUUUUCAGCAGAAAAACCAGGGGUUACCCUGCCCAGUGCUGUACCUGGUCAGCAGUGUGAGCCAAAGCCAGACCACGGGGGACAGAACCCAUGAGUUGUCAAAGAAAGCAUGUAUCCUGGAGGUGGGGUUGGGUGGCUUCAAGAGCAGGGCAUUUUUAAAAUCUGACUAGUAUCCAUGAGGAUGCAGGUUCGAUCCCUGGAUUCGUUCAGGGGGUUAAGGAGCCAGCGUUGCUGUGAGCUGUGGUGUGGGUCGCAGACACAGCCUGGAUGUGGCAUUGCUUUGGCUGUGGUGUAGGCCAGAGGCUACAGCUCCAUUUCAAUCCCUAGCCUGGGAACCUCCAUGUGCCACAGGUGUGGCCCUAAAAAGACAAAAAUAAAAAUUAUAAAAGAGAGUAGGGCAAUUAAAAAAACUUAUUUCAUCAAAAGUGUACUUGAUACACAGUGUUGUGUUUCCGGUGUACAGCAAAGUGAUUCAGUUAUAUGUAUACACAUUCUUUUUCGUAUUCUUUUCCAGUAUGGUUUAUUACAGGACAUUGAAUAUAGUUCAAGGGUGAGGCAUUGUGCAUUGUCUUAUGACACAGAAAUUUAGAAGAAAAGGCCAAGAGGAGACAGUCUAUCGAAUGAACUCCAAGCGGAGGCCCUGCAGGCAUGGGACAGGGGAAUAUAAAGAACAGGAUUGGAAUUUAUCUCCGGAAGAUUUGGGAGUAAACUAAAGAAAGGAGGAAGAGUCAUCUGUGGAAGCAGGUGAGUUUGUAGGUAGCAUCACAGGAAAUAAGCAGAGUUCCCACUGUAAUGGCUGGAGGUGUGUGAGGUCCUCCAUGAAAGUGAAGGAUAGGGACGUGUUGGAGUUGGCCAUUAGAAGAAAGUUUUGAAUUUGUGUUGGAUGGGAGCAUACCUUAACUAGGUAGCUGGUUGCUUCUAAACAUUUAAAUCAUCUAGUUACUUUUCUGAUGUCGUGCACAGCAAAAUAACUAGUGUUUGUAAGUUGACUUUCUCAAAUUUUUUUAGUUAUUGCUACAGUGGUUGUUAGUUACAGGGAAGAAACGUACAAUGCAGGAUGAUAUGUAUAUUCUGGUCCUCAGGGAAACUGUAUUUCUCAUUGUAAAUCAGUACAUUAACGUAUUUGCUUGCUAGUACUUGGAAUGUUAAGUUUGGUUUAUGUGAAUGCCCUUGAACAAGUUCAAUGUGAAUGUGUUGACUUUAUAGGGCAGGGAUUUGGGCCAUCAAGUCUGGGGCACAGGAAACCAUGCCAGGUUGGCCAUGCACUCUGGGAGAAAGCCUCUUGGAGGAGAGCCAGCCAGACCGUUCCUGUUUUCCUCUGUCUUGAAUUUCAUACAGUCUUUCAAACUUUGCAAUAUCAAUUAUGAGACUUACCUCAAACCACAGCCAAACCAGGAAAAAAUAGAGCUGGAAGUAUCACAGCGAGAGAGAAAAAUCAGUUUAAGUCAAUUCUAAAAGAAAAGGAUCAGAAAGGGAAAUUUUUGAUAGAAAAUAGAACAAAACUUCUGAAGUAUUGACAGUCAAGGUGACCAUUUUCUUCUCUAAAGUCACAUCAUUUCUUCAUUUGCUCAUUCAAUCUCUAUUUAUUAAUUACCCACUACCUAUUGGGAUGAUGAGAUUAGCUCCCUUCCCUCCAAUAUCUACUGCCAAAUACUGCCAAGAUGAAAUUUGCAGAGGGAAUAAUAGCACAGAACAAAACAGAAAGGAUACUUAGCUAGUCAGUCUCUUGCUGACAAAUUUCUUCUGUGAUUCAAUCCAAUUGCUGAACAAUUCAAAGAGAUUAACCAAAAUAAUGUACUAUAUUUACCGCAAAAUAAUAUAUUAAGGUAUUAAAAAAAUCUUUUAAAAUGAAAAUAGUAUUGCUCAAAAAGAAAGUCAGAUUAGACAUCAAGGAAUUAUCAUCUUUAUUUUUCUGAUUUGAAGAAUAUACAGAGGAGAAUGAUAGAGGACAUUUCUAUACAACAAGUUAGUACAAAUGUUGCAACUGAAAGCUAAGUCUCCAUGAUAAAAAAUAUUAAUAAGUUAAUAUAAAUAUCCAGAAUAGGGUUUUAUCAUCAAAAUGUAUUAUAUCCUUAGGAAUAUUGUAGAAAGCUCUUUAAACUUGAGGCUAAAAAAAAAGAAUAAUAAAAAAGUAAAUCACAGGGGAGCCAUACAACACAGAAAUACAGAUUUCACCAUAUUCUGCAAUAGAUGCUUGGCAAGAAUAAGAGAAAUAGAGAAGAAGAAAGUGGUAACAGAAGUUCUGCUGGUAGGGUUUUUUUAUUGUUACAUACACAUGCAUAUAUUCUGUAUAUAAAUGAUCCCAAAGAGAGUAACAAUUAUUUUUAAAGCUAGGAUCUUAAUCUCUUGCUACAGCAGAGAGAAGAAAGAGAAAGAGAGCAUGGCUUGCAGAUAUAGAACUAGCCAUGAGAGCAUGACUAUUCUCCUCAGGUUGGGGAUAGUUCUUCCUACCUCUGCCUCAAGGACUUUACGAAAACAUCCUGGGCAUAGUUUAAAGCCAUUUUACUCAGCAUUGAGGAAUGCUUAUGUCGGGCAGGAAGUUUCUUGCCACAGAUGGCUACAUAGGAAAUAAAAGGGGGAAUCGGCCAUUAGAAAUAAAGGGGCACAGGGACUUCCCUGAUGGUGCGGUGGGUUAAGGAUCCGACAUUGUCACUGCUGCAGCUUGGGUCACUGCUGUGGUGCAGGUUCUAUCCCUGGCCUGGAAAUUUCUGCAUGC